rnacentral:lncRNA from 1 species
AAACAAUGGCUAUCACAUUACAUUACAAACAAAUUUUGGAAUUCCAGGCCUUUGCCCUGAAACUCUAAAACUGACCACCUUGAAAGGUUUGUCCAAACUGCCAAUUUGCAGGUGCCACGUUGUAGCUGCUCACAGUCCUCCCAUCACUUGUCGUCACUUGGAAAGACAGGCUUUGACCAUUGAGGUAGGAGUUGCUCUGCCAGUUUUGACCCCAGUUUCUCGACAUUGAUUGCCAUCCUGUCUUAGAGCCCUUGAUUGACACAGCAUGGACAUCCCCGGCACCUGCGACGUUCGUGAUGAGGACCAAGUUGAAGUAAGAGUGGCCGUUGAUGGUAAACCUGAUUCCUCCUUUCUUCAUACAGGGGACUCUGUUUAGACCAACACAAAUAUUUUGUUAAGAUGAAUGAAAUGAAAAGAAACAAAGCAUUUAUUCAUGGAUUUGGUCGAAAAGGGUGUUAAAGCUUACCUUCUGAAUGAAAUGGGAACAAUUCCAGCGCGGUAUUGAGCGAUUUGCAAGAAGGCGGGCUCGGCCAUGUCAAAGUGUUGGAGGGGAGGAUUGCACCACCCACCAUUGUCGUUGGACAAUGCAAAGUUGGGGGGGCAGAAGUUGGUUGCAGUCACUAUAAUGGAUCCGGGCAAGCACCAUUUAGGGUCAUUGUCACACUUCAUUUCAUAGCAAGAACCGCAGCUCAAUCCAUUGUUGAACAAGGCAGUGCUAAGUGCGACAGUGUUAGUCCCAUAGCCUUGGCUGUACAAAUUGCCAUAU